rnacentral:rRNA from 1 species
GACGAACGCUGGCGGCGUGCUUAACACAUGCAAGUCGAACGGAAAGGCCCUGCUUUUGUGGGGUGCUCGAGUGGCGAACGGGUGAGUAACACGUGAGUAACCUGCCCUUGACUUUGGGAUAACUUCAGGAAACUGGGGCUAAUACCGGAUAGGAGCUCCUGCUGCAUGGUGGGGGUUGGAAAGUUUCGGCGGUUGGGGAUGGACUCGCGGCUUAUCAGCUUGUUGGUGGGGGAGUGGCUUACCAAGGCUUUGACGGGUAGCCGGCCUGGGAGGGUGACCGGCCACAUUGGGACUGAGAUACGGCCCAGACUCCUACGGGAGGCAGCAGUGGGGAAUAUUGCACAAUGGGCGGAAGCCUGAUGCAGCAACGCCGCGUGCGGGAUGACGGCCUUCGGGUUGUAAACCGCUUUCGCCUGUGACGAAGCGUGAGUGACGGUAACGGGUAAAGAAGCACCGGCUAACUACGUG